rnacentral:tRNA from 1 species
GCCGAGAUAGCUCAAUGGCAGAGCAACGCUUUUGUAAAGCGAAGGUUGGGGGUUCGACUCCUCUUCUCGGCUCCA